AGCGAACGCUGGCGGCAGGCCUAACACAUGCAAGUCGAACGAACCUUUCGGGGUUAGUGGCGGACGGGUGAGUAACACGUGGGAACGUGCCUUUAGGUUCGGAAUAACUCAGGGAAACUUGUGCUAAUACCGAAUGUGCCUUUCGGGGGAAAGAUUAAUCGCCUUUAGAGCGGCCCGCGUCUGAUUAGCUAGUUGGUUGAGGUAAUGGCUCACCAAGGCGACGAUCAGUAGCUGGUCUGAGAGGAUGAUCAGCCACAUUGGGACUGAGACACGGCCCAAACUCCUACGGGAGGCAGCAGUGGGGAAUCUUGCGCAAUGGGCGAAAGCCUGACGCAGCCAUGCCGCGUGAAUGAUGAAGGUCUUAGGAUUGUAAAAUUCUUUCACCGGGGACGAUAAUGACGGUACCCGGAGAAGAAGCCCCGGCUAACUUCGUG
rnacentral:rRNA from 1 species